ACGAACCACAAGAUGGCGACUGGCAUCAACGUGAUUAUGUAACCACAUAUUUCAGGAAUACCAUAUAUUACGGCUCAUGCGCUUUCACUUCUAUGCAUAGGACAUAUAACAAAAGCUAUGUCAACAGAAGGCAAAGAAGUAUUUGAUUUAUCAUUUGUGCUGCAAGAUAGCGAUAGUGAGAAUGAAUCUGAUGAUCACCCAGCAUUGGAAUUAGUUGAUGGUUUGGAGGAUGAAAAGUGGGAUGCAGAUGAAAUGGAUGAGGAAGAUGUCCUUUAUUCCUGGGUAUCAAGUGAAAAUGUAUCUGCUAGGGGACCUAUGCAUUCAAUGUUAGAUCUGAAGUUCACUGAUGUCCCAGGCAGCAGAGUAAUAACAGUGGCUUGGAAACCAGUAGAUUAUUUUCUGGCAUACUUCCCACCUAGUCUAUUCAAGAGGAUUGCAGAGGAGACAAACAGAUAUGUUUCUCAGUUUGUUGCUGCGAAUCCUAAAUUACCAAUGUUCUCCCGUUUUCAAAACUACACACCAACUAAUGCUGAAGAACUCAUGGUUUUUGUUGCUCUAGAGAUGUCAAUGGGGAUGUGUGUUAAGGCAGAUGUGUCAGAGUACUGGAUCACCUCAGGUUUGAAUGUCACUCCAGUGUACAAGAAAAUGAUGUCCAGAGACAGAUUUAUAUGCCUGAGGUCCAUAUUACAUUUCAAUGACAAUUCCAUGUGUCCCGAGCCAGGAAGUGCGGAUUAUGAUCCAAUGUAUAAGGUGCGUCCUAUCAAUGAUGUCAUGAAAGAGCUGUGCCUACAAAAUUAUGUACCACAUGAAAAUCUGUGUGUCAAUGAGAGCAUGAGAUACAGAUGGAGGACCUUCAAGAAUCAGCUAGUGCCUUCAGAGCCCCAGAAUUUUGAUAUGAAAAUUUGGUGUCUGUGUGACAGCACUAAUGGAAUGUGCCUGAAUUGGAAGAUUCACUGCGGAGAAAAACCUUCAUCCAAUGGACUUGGGAUGGAUGUUGUGACAGAGUUAUCUGCUCCUUAUUUCAACACUUGCAGAGUUAUCUACCAUGGCAAGUUCUUCACAUCACCAGCUCUUGCGUUAUAUCUGUCAAAGAAAGGACUUGGGAGUUGUGGCCCUGUCUGUUUAAAAAGAGAUGACAUUCCAAAGGCAUUGCAGAAAUCACCAGGGAAGGUUGAUAGUGAGUCUGUAUUGUUCUACAAAGAUCAACCCACUGGUUUAGUGAUGUCUUCUUCAAGGUCUUGGAGUGAUCGAAGGAGAGUCAACUAUUUGUCUACUGUCCAUGGGAACGAGGUUGUUCAUAAACGGGUGACUAGUAGGAAGAGUCCACAAGGUCACCAAGAUGUCCAGAAACCAAAGAUGGUAGCCGAUGUGAAUGAGUUCAUGACCGGAGUCAAUUCCAUGAAUAAGUUCACAACAAAGUAUAUCAACAAGACCAAAUGCAGAAAAAACUACCUUAUCAUCUAUGACUUUCUCAAAGAAGUUGCUAUGUUCAAUGCCUACAUCCUCCACAAGGAAUCAACAGAGAAGGCUUGCAGCUACAGAUCAUUCAGGGACGAUGUUGUGCUAGGGCUCAUUGAGAUUUACCACAACACAGGCCAACCCUCUCCUAGGGUCCAUAGCUAUGACUCAACAUUUGUGCCUGAAAGAAUGAGAGGGAGACACUUCAUUGAGCAAAUGCAAGAAUGGAAAACACCUCGAGAUUGUGUUGUAUGUUCCGACAGGAAGACUCGUCAACGGCACCAGACUUCAAAUGGUUGCCCCGACUGUGGAGUAGCUCUGUGUGUUGGUAAAUGUUUCAAGAGGUACCACACCUGCUUUGAGUUCAAGCUUCAUAGCUAGUGCUAUGACGGGGAAGGACAUUUGUUUGCAUGAGCAUCUCCACAAAGCAUUGACAGACAACAGUAGAACAGAAGUCUCAUCUCAUGCUUUUGCUCCUGAGAUAUUGUCUGAUCAUGUGAAAAUGAUGACUAUAUCUUUUAGGCCAACAUUGCAACAUAACAAUUGUGUUUUGUUCAUUCUCUGUAUUUGUUUGAUGUUAUAUUUAGCUAAAUACUAACAGUCAGACUGUGGGUGAAUUGUAGACACAUUGAAGAAGCUAAAACGUUCAGCGAAGAUAAUUUUGUUCAGGGAUUGACCAUUUGAUAAUCAGUGUUGGGUUGGGUGGGGAAUGUUCGGAAUUUAUAUUUUUAAAUAAUUUGUUCCAGAAAAUACUUGAAAACUUAUUUCAUCCUUUGGUUUUACAGGAAAGAAACAUUGUUCGCUGGACAGUGGAUGUCCUGAAAAUAAUUAAAAAAUUCCAUAUCCUCUUUUCCGAGACAAAAAGUGCAUAUUUUCAAAAAGUGAAAAUAUCCCCCAUCUACCAAACGCACCAUGCACUGCUCAAAACUUCAGCAUUUUCAGAUAGUCAAAAAAUACCUCAGUGUGUUGGUUCUCUCCCACUCUCUCUGAUCCUAGAAAGGGCAAGGUAUCAUGAUAAGGGCCUUUAGGAUCUGCAUAGGUUCAGAAAUGACCAACACCUGUAGAAAUUGUUAUGGAUGUGUGCAACAUGAAUGAGAACUUUGCUUUGUUCAUUUCAGGACAACUAUAAUUAGACUUGUGGCAAAACUAAAUGUAAAGGUGAAACUCUCAUUUUAUAGGUUUUCAGGAAGCAUUUUUCUAAGCGUUAGAACAUGAGCAAGUCUUUGACCCAAGGAUUAGAACACAAACACAUGGUGAAAGGGUCAUGUUGGGUCACACACUUGCUUAUUAAAGAUUCAAUUUUUUUCUUUCAAGUUUGAAAAUGUUCUCUUUUUCAUCAUUAAUAUGUACCUAAUAACUGAAAAAUUAUAAAUAUGAUGCUCAAAUAGACAAUGUGGAUUUUGAGACUGAACAAUAUUCCCGCUGUGUACACAACAAACAACUUGUCUUAACUGACGAGGGUGUGAUUCCGUCUAAGUGGGUAGAUAUUAGGGUGCAAAAAUUGAAGGCAGAAUUUAAAUUGAAAUUUGUAAAGUAUUUUUUUAAAAGUCUUGAAAAAUGCAUACAACACAAUAUUAAGGCAACAGGGUUCAUCUUAAGGCCAAUCAAAAUGCAGUACUGUACACCUUAAUCUUCCACUGAAGAGAGGAAAGGUUUUCAUGUUAUGUGUUAUAUCACACUAUAAGGAAUUAGAAUAUGCUUAUGAUGACAGUAAUGUUUGCCUUUGAGCAUAGAAUUACAGUAUUGGUAGAACGAAUGUAAUGUUUGUGUUUACAAACGUGUUUGUUUGAAUAUUUCUUGUUGUUUAUUAAUUUUUCUUCAAAGAUGAAUUUGCAAACAGCCUCCUAAACCAUGUUGAAUCUACCUCUGACCUUGGAGACUUUAUCAGACCUAAGUGACAAUUAAUUCUAGAUUAUAAAAUGAUCAUCAUUAAACCUCAAUUAUCUAAGAACUGUCUUUGAAAUAUUUAAAUCAUGAGUAAAAUGUUUAAAUUUAGCAACACUGCCAAUCUUUUGAAUUAUGUAUCACGUGACUGAUUAAGUGCAUUCUUUAAUGGGAAAGUAUGACCAUUGAGAUACUUGCUUCAUUUGAUUUUAUUGUAUGGUCAGGGAGAAAAUAGAUUGUUUCCCCUUCAGGAUUCAUUUCUCUCUUCAUUAAAGAUGGUACAGUUGAAUAAGGUAGGGAAUGUUACAUGUUCCUUGUUUAUAUUUCAAUUCUUAUUUCUGUGUUUCAGUCAGAAUAAACAGCUCUUUGAUGAACAA
rnacentral:misc_RNA from 1 species